GACGACCGCUGGCGGCGUGCUUAACACAUGCAAGUCGAACGGAAAGGCCCUGCUUUUGUGGGGUGCUCGAGUGGCGAACGGGUGAGUAACACGUGAGUAACCUGCCCUUGACUUUGGGAUAACUUCAGGAAACUGGGGCUAAUACCGGAUAGGAGCUCCUGCUGCAUGGUGGGGGUUGGAAGGUUUCGGCGGUUGGGGAUGGACUCGCGGCUUAUCAGCUUGUUGGUGGGGUAGUGGCUUACCAAGGCUUUGACGGGUAGCCGGCCUGAGAGGGUGACCGGCCACAUUGGGACUGAGAUACGGCCCAGACUCCUACGGGAGGCAGCAGUGGGGAAUAUUGCACAAUGGGCGGAAGCCUGAUGCAGCAACGCCGCGUGCGGGAUGACGGCCUUCGGGUUGUAAACCGCUUUCGCCUGUGACGAAGCGUGAGUGACGGUAAUGGGUAAAGAAGCACCGGCUAACUACGUG
rnacentral:rRNA from 1 species